rfam:Methanococcoides burtonii DSM 6242, complete genome.
GGGCUCGUGGUCUAGCUGGUUAUGACGUUGCCUUCACACGGCAGAGCUCCGGAGUUCGAAUCUCCGCGGGCCCA